ACAGGGAUUGCCUUAGUACGGCGAGUGAAGCGGCAAUAGCUCAAAUUUGAAAGCUGGCGCCUUCGACGUCCGCGUUGUAAUUUGUAGAGGAUGCUUCGGCGAAGACUCCUGCCUAAGUCCCCUGGAACGGGGCGUCAUAGAGGGUGAGAAUCCCGUAUGUGGCGGGCAGUCUAAGCCAUGUGAAGCUCCUUCGACGAGUCGAGUUGUUUGGGAAUGCAGCUCUGAAUGGGAGGUAAAUUUCUUCUAAAGCUAAAUAUUGGCCAGAGACCGAUAGCGCACAAGUAGAGUGAUCGAAAGAUGAAAAGCACUUUGGAAAGAGAGUUAAAAAGUACGUGAAAUUGUUGAAAGGGAAGCGCUUGCAACCAGACUCGCUCGUAGUUGCUCAGCCGGCCUCUUGGCCGGUGUACUCUUCUACGAUCGGGCCAGCAUCAGUUCGGGCGGCAGGAUAAAGGUGUCGGGAAUGUAGCACCCUUCGGGGUGUGUUAUAGCCCGGCGCGGAAUGCUGCCAGCCUGGACUGAGGAUCUCGCUUCGGCAAGGAUGCUGGCGUAAUGGUUGUAAGCGGCCCGUCUG
rnacentral:rRNA from 1 species